CUAGUGGCGAACGGGUGGAGUAACACGUAAGGCAAUCUGUCCUAAAGACUUGGGAGUAACAGACUGGAAACGGACUGAUAAUACCGGAUAACAAAUAGAAUCGCAUGAUUUAUUUUGAAAGACGCAAAUGUGUCACUUUUGGAGGAGCCUGCGGCGCAUUAGAUAGUUGGUGAGGUAACGGCCCACCAAGUCGAUGAUGCGUAGCUGCGCUGAGAGGCGAAACAGCCACAUUGGGACUGAGAACGGCCCAAACUCCUACGGGAGGCAGCAGUAGGGAAUUUUCGGCAAUGGGGGAAACCCUGACCGAGCAAUGCCGCGUGAAUGAUGAACCGAUCUUCGGAUUGUAAAGUUCUGUUGUAGAGGACGAAUGGUAGGUAGAGUGGAAUGUUAUCUAUUUGACGGUACUUUACUAGAAAGCCCCGGCUAACUAUGUGCCAGCCGCUGC
rnacentral:rRNA from 1 species